CCCUUAGAUGUUCUGGGCUGCACGCGCGCUACACUGAAGCGUUCAACGAGUAUUCACCUUGCCCGGGAGGGUUGGGUAAUCUUUUGAAAACGCUUCGUGAUGGGGAUAGAUUAUUGCAAUUAUUAAUCUUCAACGAGGAAUUCCUAGUAAGCGCGAGUCAUCAGCUCGUGCUGAUUACGUCCCUGCCCUUUGUACACACCGCCCGUCGCUACUACCGAUUGAAUGAUUUAGUGAGGACUUCGGACUGGGACCGAUGCGGCUUUCGGGCUGCGUCGGUAUUCUGGAAAGAUGUCCAAACUGUAUCAUUUAGAGGAAGUAAAAGUCGUANCA
rnacentral:rRNA from 1 species